rnacentral:rRNA from 1 species
GAGUGAAGCGGCAACAGCUCAAAUUUGAAACCUGGCGCAAGCCCGGAUUGUAAUUUGCAGAGGAUGCUUCUGGGCAGCGGCCGUUCUAAGUUCCUUGGAACAGGACGUCAUAGAGGGUGAGAAUCCCGUAUGUGACCGGCGCGCACCCUCCACGUAGCUCCUUCGACGAGUCGAGUUGUUUGGGAAUGCAGCUCUAAAUGGGAGGUAAAUUUCUUCUAAAGCUAAAUACCGGCCAGAGACCGAUAGCGCACAAGUAGAGUGAUCGAAAGAUGAAAAGCACUUUGGAAAGAGAGUUAAAAAGCACGUGAAAUUGUUGAAAGGGAAGCGCUUGCAACCAGACUCCGCGGCGGUGUUCCGCCGGUCUUCUGACCGGUCCACUCGCCGCCGCGGGGCCAACAUCGUCUGGGGCCGCCGGAUAAGACCGGAGGAAUGUAGCUCCUAGAGUGUUAUAGCCUCCGGUGAUGCGGCGCGUCCCGGGCGAGGUCCGCGCUUCGGCAAGGAUGUUGGCGUAAUGGUUGUCAGCGGCCCGUCUUGAAACACGGACCAAGGAGUCUAACAUCUAUGCGAGUGUUCGGGUGUCAAACCCCUACGCGUAAUGAAAGUGAACGGAGGUGGGAGCUUCGGCGCACCAUCGACCGAUCCUGAUGUCCUCGGAUGGAUUUGAGUAAGAGCAUAGCUGUUGGGACCCGAAAGAUGGUGAACUAUGCCUGAAUAGGGUGAAGCCAGAGGAAACUCUGGUGGAGGCUCGCAGCGGUUCUGACGUGCAAAUCGAUC